rnacentral:rRNA from 1 species
UACGAAGGGAGCAAGCGUUGUUCGGAAUCACUGGGCAUAAAGCGCACGUAGGCGGCCCGAGUAGUUGAAAGUGAAAUCCUUGAGCUUAACUCAAGAAUUGCUUUCAAAACCUUCGGGCUUGAGUAUAGGAGGGGUGACUGGAAUUCCUGGUGGAGCGGUGAAAUGCGUAGAGAUCAGGAGGAACGCCGGAGGCGAAAGCGAGUCACUGGCCUAUCACUGACGCUGAGGUGCGAAAGCUAGGGGAGCAAACAGG